rnacentral:rRNA from 1 species
AGCAGCGUCUGGAAAGGCGCGCGAUACAGGGUGACAGCCCCGUACACAAAAGCGCAUGUGCUGUGAGCUCGAUGAGUAGGGCGGGACACGUGGUAUCCUGUCUGAAUAUGGGGGGACCAUCCUCCAAGGCUAAAUACUCCUGACUGACCGAUAGUGAACCAGUACCGUGAGGGAAAGGCGAAAAGAACCCCGGCGAGGGGAGUGAAAAAGAACCUGAAACCGUGUACGUACAAGCAGUGGGAGCCCCACCACCAAAGCAUUCUCUGGUGUUGAAGGCCCUGCAAAGCAGCAUCGCGGUGGCGGAGCGUCGUUUGCGACGCCCAACACACAAAACAAGCGGUGAGUGCUUUGGGGUGGGGUGACUGCGUACCUUUUGUAUAAUGGGUCAGCGACUUAUAUUCUGUAGCAAGGUUAACCGUAUAGGGGAGCCGUAGGGAAACCGAGUCUUAACCGGGCGUUAAGUUGCAGGGUAUAGACCCGAAACCCGGUGAUCUAGCCAUGGGCAGGUUGAAGGUUGGGUAACACUAACUGGAGGACCGAACCGACUAAUGUUGAAAAAUUAGCGGAUGACCUGUGGCUGGGGGUGAAAGGCCAAUCAAACCGGGAGAUAGCUGGUUCUCCCCGAAAGCUAUUUAGGUAGCGCCUCGUGAAUUCAUCUCCGGG